rnacentral:rRNA from 1 species
UACGAACUGUGCAAACGUUAUUCGGAUUCACUGGGCUUAAAGGGUGCGUAGGCGGCCAUGUAAGUAGGGUGUGAAAUCCCCCGGCUUAACCGGGGAACUGCGCCCUAAACUGUGUGGCUUGAGUGAGAUAGGGGUGUGUGGAACUUCCGGUGGAGCGGUGAAAUGUGUUGAUAUCGGAAGGAACGCCGGUGGCGAAGGCAGCACUCUGGGACGUGACUGACGCUGAGACGCGAAAGCGUGGGGAGCAAACAGG